CGCGUAGGUGGAAAUUUAAGUUAGAUGUAAAAUCCCUGGGCUUAACCUGGGCAGGCCAUCUAAAACUGGAUUUCUAGAGUACAGAAGAGGGAAGCGGAAUUUCCGGAGGAGCGGUGAAAUGCGUAGAUAUCGGAAGGACCACCAGUUGCGAAGGCGGCUUCCUGGUCUUGUACUGACACUGAGGCGCGAAAGCAUGGGUAGCGAACA
rnacentral:rRNA from 1 species